rnacentral:misc_RNA from 1 species
GAUGAAGAACGUAGCGAAAUGCGAUAAGUAGUGUGAAUUGCAGAAUUCAGUGAAUCAUCGAAUCUUUGAACGCACAUUGCGCCCCUUGGUAUUCCAUGGGGCAUGCCUGUUCGAGCGUCAUUUGUACCUUCAAGCUUUGCUUGGUGUUGGGUGUUUGUCUCGCCUUUGCGUGUAGACUCGCCUUAAAAUAAUUGGCAGCCGGCGUAUUGAUUUCGGAGCGCAGUACAUCUCGCGCUUUGCACUCAUAACGACAGCGUCCAAAAGUACAUUUUACACUCUUGACCUCGGAUCAGGUAGGGAUACCCGAUGAACUUAAGCAUAUCAAUAAGCGGAGGA